GAUGAACGCUGGCGGCGCGCCUAAUACAUGCAAGUCGAGCGAAUGGAUUAAGAGCUUGCUCUUAUGAAGUUAGCGGCGGACGGGUGAGUAACACGUGGGUAACCUGCCCAUCAGACUGGGAUAACUCCGGGAAACCGGGGCUAAUACCGGAUAACAUUUUGAACCGCAUGGUUCGAACUUGAAAGGCGGCUUCGGCUGUCACUUAUGGAUGGACCCGAGUCGCAUUAGCUAGUUGGUGAGGUAACGGCUCACCAAGGCAACGAUGCGUAGCCGACCUGAGAGGGUGAUCGGCCACACUGGGACUGAGACACGGCCCAGACUCCUACGGGAGGCAGCAGUAGGGAAUCUUCCGCAAUGGACGAAAGUCUGACGGAGCAACGCCGCGUGAGUGAUGAAGGCUUUCGGGUCGUAAAACUCUGUUGUUAGGGAAGAACAAGUGCUAGUUGAAUAAGCUGGCACCUUGACGGUACCUAACCAGAAAGCCACGGCUAACUACGUGCCAGCCGCCGCCGUAA
rnacentral:rRNA from 1 species